rnacentral:rRNA from 1 species
AUGUAUCUCGCCGACGGCAAAAGUUGGCAACGCAACACGCAUGGUGCUGCGCGCGCUGCGGCGGAGCUUCAAUGCAUCACCGGUGUUGCUAUGGAGCAUCCUCGGGCCGCCGGAGCAUCAUCGGUGCGGCAAUGGAGCAUCACGGAGCACUGCCGGUGUUACGAUGGAGCAUUGCCAGGCCGCCAGAGCAUCAUCGAUGCUGCAAUGGAGCAUCCCGGAGCGCUGUCGGUGUUGCUAUGGAGCAUCUUCGGGCCGCCGGAGCAUCAUCGAUGCUGCAAUGGAGCGUCACGGAGCGCUGCCGGUGUUACGAUGGAGCAUCGUCGGGCUGCUGGAGCAUCAUCGGUGAUGUAA